rnacentral:lncRNA from 1 species
UCUCCUCUCAUGUCUCCUGGUGAAAGGCCCUUCCUCUUUUUCUUCUCAAAGUUCCUUUCUCUUCCCCAGGAAGUUCCACCUUCUGCUUCCUGUCCAACUAACUGGCCAUCAGAUGUUUAUUAAAGCCAAUCAGAGAAUGCCUUAGGUAGGUGAGGAAGGACAGAGACACAAAUUCAUACAGUGUAUCCCAACAACUAGUUACUUUUCUAUUGCCAUAAACAAGGCACUAUGACCAAGACAACUUAUAUGUCAAAAAGCAUUGAAUUUGGAGCUUUUGUAGAGUUUAGAGGGUGAGUGUCUGACCAUCAUGAUGGAAAGCAAGGCUGCAGGCAGGUCCUGGAGAAGUAGCUGAGAGCUUACACGUCAUCCACAAGAAUGAUACAAAGAAGGAGAAGAUGGAACAUGACCCUGUCUUAAAAAAGAAAAAAAGACAGCUCCUAAGGAACAAUACCCAAGAUUGUGCUUCAGCCUACACACACACACACACACACACACACACACACACACACACAUUCAUUCACACACAUAUACAUAUACACAUUCAUACACACACACACACUCACACACACACUCAUACUCACACACAUUCACACACAUAUACACAUUCAUACACACACACACACACACACACACACUCACACACUAUACUGAAAUGGGGAAAUUAAAAGCAGAACUAGAAGGAGCUUCCAAUCUAGUAGAACUAGUAAGUACUGAGAGAGAUCAAAUAUCUGAGAUCAAAGCCAUGUGAAUGAUUGACAAAGAAUAUGGUGUUCUUCCAACACUGUGGUCUUGAGAUUUUCUUUGCUGUAACUAAAGCCCAGUAACUUAUCAGAGUUGCCCAUUAACAAUACACCACAAUAAGGAGCAUAGCCUGAACUUUCCUCUUAUCUACCUGCAAUGCAGAUACGCACAGACAAUACCUCUACCAUCUGUUCUUGCUUCAAGAGUCUGUGCGCCAGUAAACAUAAAAUUCCCUAAAGUAGCUGUAAAAAUGCUGCGCUAUGCAAAUCACCUCAACCAUUUAAGUCUUUGACACUGCCUACAAAAAUAGCUGCCCAUAAAAGAGAAUCAGAUGCGGUGAAUAAUUCACAUGCAUGCCCUUGUGUGGGCGGGAGCUGGGUGCUGUUUGCUUUGACGUGGUGAAACCCACAGUUAGAAUCCAGACUUCUACCUAGAAUCUCAGUCUGAACACUUUCAAGGCAUUGACAGUCGCAGAACUGAAAUGAAUGAAGGUUCUAGUCACGGAGCCGUGAGUUGCCAUAGUUUUUGAUGACUUAUUUUUAUUUUUGUUCUCUCCUUACCCCAAGGGGCUUGUCCUGUGCAUUUAACCUUGACACCUAUGAAGUCAUGCAUUUCCAGAGAACCUGGAGGACUGCAGGCACCAAAGAAUGAGGGUAGAGGUAUGCAAUGAAGAAUGAGUCUUCUCUAUCUAAGGACAAAAGAGAAGCAGGAGUCUCAGGAGAUUAGGGUCCAGCUGAGGGCAGAAAGAAGAAGCUUGGUAGAAAUGGUAAGAACGCAAGAAUGGGGUUCUGAAAGCUGUAGAAGGCAGGGAGACAGACAGAAGAGAGAGAAAGCAUCCCUAGACUGUCCAAAGAGGCCUUCAGUGGUCAUACUUGUCAUGAGGAUGCUGUUGUGUUAACACAUGAAAGGCAUUCAGAGAAAUGUCAACAUGUAGUCAGAUCUGAAGAAGUGUCAACCUGAGAGGGAAAAACAUUACCAGGUCACACUUUCCCCAAAGUCACAAACAUCCAGUCACACAAGCCCUAACGAACAUAUCAUCAGGGCUGGAGAGAUGGCUCAGUGGUUAAGAGCACUGGCUGCUCUUCCAGAGGUCCUGAGUUACCAGUUCAGUUACCAGCACCCACAUGGUGGCUCACAACCAUCUGUAAUGGGAUCUGAUGCCCUCCUCUAGCACACGGAUGUUCAUGCAGAUAGAGCCCUCAUAUACAUAAAAAUAAAUAAAUAAGUCUUUUUUUUUUUUUUAAAAAAAGAGAGCAUAUUAUCUUCUUGUCACACAGAACUAAAGUCCAACUUGCAAAGAAAAAAAAAAGUCUGUCAGAGUUCCUGGUAGGUUUAGUUUCUUAUGCAUUUGAAGGUAGAGGCAGUUCACAAGCUUCAGAUACACAAUGUGUUCAAGACUACAUUGGGCUAAACAAUAACAACCUCUCCCAAAACAAAAACAAGUCAGAGGCUGAAGAGCUAGCUCAACAAUUAAGAGUGUACGUUGCUCUCAAAGAGGACCCAGGUUCACUUCUCAGCACCCACACAGUGGCUCACAAAAAUCUGAACUCCGGUUUCAAGAGAUUCCGCACUCUCCUCUGAUUUCCCUGGCACCGGGCAUGCAGGUGGUUUGUGUACAUUCAUGCAGCCAAAAAUACUCAUCCACAUGAAAUAAAAUAACCAUGUAAAACAAGCAACUGGAACCCCCUCCCAAACAAACAAACAAACAAACAACAACAAAACCAAAUUAACAACAACAAACAAAAUCCUGUCUGGUAAAUCAUUUUUAAAAUUUUUUAAAAAUAAGAUUACCACAUGAUUUGGUAACUUUUUUCCUAGAUAUGUCUCUGUACAUAUAUGUAUAUAUAAAAAAUCAAAAGCUGAUAUCUGAACAGGUAUUUUUAUAUAUGUGUUUUGAAUAGAAGUACUCACAGAAGCUAAGAUACAGAAACCACUCCACUGUCACCUGUGGAUAAGCUGUAGGUAACAGGCAAAGAGUGGAAAGUUACUCAGCCAUAGCAAGGAAGACAAUCUGGUCACACUCUAGUAUAGGCGAACCCCGAGGACACUGCAGUAAAUGAAGUUAGCUGGUCACAAAUAGACGGGCACUGUACGAUUCCUUCUCUAUGAACUGUCCAAUGUCAGGUUCACAGAGAAGAGAAAGGAAGUAUCGUGUGGUUACCAGAUUCUUUGGGAAAGGCAAGUGGUUUAAUCGGUUUAGUUUUAGAUUUGAAGUAUAAGAAUGUUCUAGAAAUCUGUUUCUUAAUAGUGUGGGGGGGCAUACACAAUACCACUGAUGCACCCCAAGCAUGACCAUACAUUCCUGUAAGCCCAGCACUGGGGGGAGGGGGUGGGGGGUGCUGAGUACAGGGGCUGUGCAUUCCCAGGCAGUCAAGGUUACACACCCCUAUCUCAAAGCACAAUGUAACAGCAAGA